AGGGGAGGGCGGUGCUGAGUGCCUUCCUCAGGCCUGGGGACUUGGUUGUCUUUCUAACCUGAGACUGAUUCUUCUUGAAGCAAGUAAAUUUGCUUAACAAUCAAAGUUGAAGAACGGCUUUUUGGUGUCAGUGCCAACAAGAAAAGCCUCGUGGGACUGCCGUGUUGGAUAAGAACUUCCACAGCUGAACCCUGGUUGGGGUGGCUGUGUGACUGAUGCCUGCCAUGGGGGAUUUCACUCUAGAACCUUCUCCCAGGGAACCUGGUGCAUUGCUGGAGACAGUGCAGAUGCCCUGCUGAUCCCUGCCACCAGGUUCCAGAUGCUACCAUGAUGCCAACCAGAUUCCUAUGGGCAGACAACCCCACCAAUGUGUCCUGGAGCCCCAUUUCCCCAUAUCCCUACCCCACUAGGGAAAGAGAGAGGCAGGCUGGCAGUAUGGAUCCACCUGUCAAUGCACAUGUUCAGUGGGGAAGCAAUUACAGAAGCCAGACCUUCCACCUUCUGCAUCCCACAAUGACCUUGGGUCCAUACUCCCAGAGGGAUAAAGAAUAGGAAAGCUAUCAGGGGAGGGGAUGGCAAUACAGAGUUGUGGUAGUGGGAAUUGUGUGGAGUUGUACCCCUCUUAUCUAUGGUUUUUGUCAGUGUUUCCUUUUCAUAAAUAAAAAUAAAAAAAGAAGAUGAAAAUUGAAAAUGUGAGAGAAAAGGAAAAAGAGCAUGGGGAAGGCCGUCACUGGAACUUGGUGCCUGCACUGCCGACCCACUGCUCCUAGUGGCUUGCUGUCUUCUCCCCUCCCUUCCU